rnacentral:rRNA from 1 species
UACGAAGGGGGCUAGCGUUGCUCGGAAUUACUGGGCGUAAAGGGCGCGUAGGCGGAUAGUUUAGUCAGAGGUGAAAGCCCAGGGCUCAACCUUGGAACUGCCUUUGAUACUGGCUAUCUUGAGUUCGGGAGAGGUGAGUGGAAUGCCGAGUGUAGAGGUGAAAUUCGUAGAUAUUCGGCGGAACACCAGUGGCGAAGGCGGGUCUCUGGGCCGAUACUGACGCUGAGGAGCGAAAGCGUGGGGAGCGAACAGG